UCGAGCGGUAGCACAGGGAGCUUGCUCCUGGGUGACGAGCGGCGGACGGGUGAGUAAUGUCUGGGAAACUGCCCGAUGGAGGGGGAUAACUACUGGAAACGGUAGCUAAUACCGCAUAACGUCUUCGGACCAAAGUGGGGGACCUUCGGGCCUCACACCAUCGGAUGUGCCCAGAUGGGAUUAGCUAGUAGGUGGGGUAACGGCUCACCUAGGCGACGAUCCCUAGCUGGUCUGAGAGGAUGACCAGCCACACUGGAACUGAGACACGGUCCAGACUCCUACGGGAGGCAGCAGUGGGGAAUAUUGCACAAUGGGCGCAAGCCUGAUGCAGCCAUGCCGCGUGUGUGAAGAAGGCCUUCGGGUUGUAAAGCACUUUCAGCGAGGAGGAAGGGUGCAGUGUUAAUAGCGCUGUUCAUUGACGUUACUCGCAGAAGAAGCACCGGCUAACUCCGUGCCAGCAGCCGCGGUAAUACGGAGGGUGCAAGCGUUAAUCGGAAUUACUGGGCGUAAAGCGCACGCAGGCGGUUUGUUAAGUCAGAUGUGAAAUCCCCGCGCUUAACGUGGGAACUGCAUUUGAAACUGGCAAGCUAGAGUCUUGUAGAGGGGGGUAGAAUUCCAGGUGUAGCGGUGAAAUGCGUAGAGAUCUGGAGGAAUACCGGUGGCGAAGGCGGCCCCCUGGACAAGACUGACGCUCAGUGCGAAAGCGUGGGGAGC
rnacentral:rRNA from 1 species